UCCCCCAGUAGCGGCGAGCGAACGGGGAGCAGCCCAGAGUCUGAAUCAGCUUGUGUGUUAGUGGAACGGUCUGGAAAGUCCGACGGUACAGGGUGAUAGUCCCGUACACCAAAAUGCACAGGUUGUGAACUCGAAGAGUAGGGCGGGACACGUGGUAUCCUGUCUGAAUAUGGGGGGACCAUCCUCCAAGGCUAAAUACUCCUGACUGACCGAUAGUGAACCAGUACCGUGAGGGAAAGGCGAAAAGAACCCCGGCGAGGGGAGUGAAAAAGAACCUGAAACCGUGUACGUACAAGCAGUGGGAGCACCCUUUGNNNNNNNNNNGAACCCCGGCGAGGGGAGUGAAAAAGAACCUGAAACCGUGUACGUACAAGCAGUGGGAGCCUCUUUAUGGGGUGACUGCGUACCUUUUGUAUAAUGGGUCAGCGACUUAUAUUCUGUAGCAAGGUUAACCGUAUAGGGGAGCCGAAGGGAAACCGAGUCUUAACUGGGCGUUAAGUUGCAGGGUAUAGACCCGAAACCCGGUGAUCUAGCCAUGGGCAGGUUGAAGGUUGGGUAACACUAACUGGAGGACCGAACCGACUAAUGUUGAAAAAUUAGCGGAUGACUUGUGGCUGGGGGUGAAAGGCCAAUCAAACCGGGAGAUAGCUGGUUCUCCCCGAAAGCUAUUUAGGUAGCGCCUCGUGAACUCAUCUUCGGGGGUAGAGCACUGUUUCGGCUAGGGGGUCAUCCCGACUUACCAACCCGAUGCAAACUGCGAAUACCGAAGAAUGUUAUCACGGGAGACACACGGCGGGUGCUAACGUCCGUCGUGAAGAGGGAAACAACCCAGACCGCCAGCUAAGGUCCCAAAGUCAUGGUUAAGUGGGAAACGAUGUGGGAAGGCACAGACAGCCAGGAUGUUGGCUUAGAAGCAGCCAUCAUUUAAAGAAAGCGUAAUAGCUCACUGGUCGAGUCGGCCUGCGCGGAAGAUGUAACGGGGCUAAACCAUGCACCGAAGCUGCGGCAGCGACACUAUGUGUUGUUGGGUAGGGGAGCGUUCUGUAAGCCGUUGAAGGUGUGCUGUGAGGCAUGCUGGAGGUAUCAGAAGUGCGAAUGCUGACAUAAGUAACGAUAAUGCGGGUGAAAAACCCGCACGCCGGAAGACCAAGGGUUCCUGUCCAACGUUAAUCGGGGCAGGGUGAGUCGACCCCUAAGGCGAGGCCGAAAGGCGUAGUCGAUGGGAAACAGGUUAAUAUUCCUGUACUUGGUGUUACUGCGAAGGGGGGACGGAGAAGGCUAUGUUAGCCGGGCGACGGUUGUCCCGGUUUAAGCAUGUAGGCGGAGGUUCCAGGUAAAUCCGGUACCUUUUUAACGCUGAGGUGUGAUGACGAGGCACUACGGUGCUGAAGUAACAAAUGCCCUGCUUCCAGGAAAAGCCUCUAAGCAUCAGGUAACACGAAAUCGUACCCCAAACCGACACAGGUGGUCAGGUAGAGAAUACCAAGGCGCUUGAGAGAACUCGGGUGAAGGAACUAGGCAAAAUGGUGCCGUAACUUCGGGAGAAGGCACGCUGAUAUGUAGGUGAAG
rnacentral:rRNA from 1 species